AGCGCAAGAUGUCCCGCGCUGGGCCGCAGCAGAUUCCCGUCCCGGCCUCCCGACCCAAGCCCAUGACCCCCGAGCCAAUGCCACGAUCCAUGCCCCCGACCCCCGAGCCAGUGCCACGAUCCAUGCCCCCGACCCCCGAGCCAGUGCCACGAUCCAUGUCCCCGAGCCCCGAGCCAGUGCCACGAUCCAUGCCCCCGGUACCAGCACCACGUUCCAUGCCCCUGACCCGACCAGUCCCGGCGCCACGUUCCAUGCCCCCGACCCGACCAGCUCCGGCGCCACGUUCCAUGCCCCCGACCCGACCAGUUCCGGCGCCACGUUCCAUGCCCCCGACCCGACCAGUUCCGGCGCCACGCUCCAUGCCCCCGACCCGACCAGUUCCGGUGCCACGCUCCAUGCCCCCGACCAGUUCCGGCCCCACGCUCCAUGCCCCCGACCAGUACCGGCCCCACGCUCCAUGCCCCCAACUCGGCCAGUCCCCGCUCCGAGACUCAGGCUCCCUCCCUCCCAUCCCAUGGUCCUCUCCCACCCUCCCGUUGGUGAUUUGAGGGCCGUCUGGGAUCCGGCCCUUGAGGGGGGGGCUACGGGGUGGGUUAUGGGGGGGGCUGAACCGACGACUGCGGAGGUGUUCCGUUGUCCCCGAGCUGCCGCCGCCGACCCCGGAGGUUUCCCGUGUCCCCGAGCCUGCCAUUCUAGAGACGUUCCGUGCCCUGCAGUCGCCGCUCCGGAGCCGGCUUGGUGACCGCCCGCCGGGCCGACCCCCAGAGUUUCCCGGGUGGUCCGACCAACGUCUCUGGUUUCCCUGCCCCCCCACCCCUUGUUUUGCUCUAGUGUGAGCCGCCUGGAAGUCGGUCCUUGG
ensembl:lncRNA